UACAGAGGUCCCGAGCGUUGUUCGGAUUUAUUGGGCGUAAAGGGUGCGUAGGCGGCGGAGUAAGUUGGGUGUGAAAUCCCGGGGCUUAACCUCGGAAUGGCAUUCAAUACUGCUUCGCUAGAGUACUGGAGAGGAGGCUGGAAUUUACGGUGUAGCAGUGAAAUGCGUAGAUAUCGUAAGGAACACCAGUGGCGAAGGCGGCAUCCUGGACCAGCACUGACACUCAGGCACGAAAGCGUGGGGAGCAAACAGG
rnacentral:rRNA from 1 species